GCAGGCUGCGGGAGCCAGAAGCAGCACCCCGCUGGGGUCCCCUUGCACGCUGUGGAAGCUUUGUUGUUUUGCUCUUCGCGAUAAAUCUUGCUGCUGCUCACUCUUUGGGUCCAUGUUGCCAUUAUGAGCUGUAACACUGUGAAGGUCUGCAGCUUCACUCCUGAAGCCAGUGAGACCAUGAACCCACUGGGAGGGAUGAACAACUCCGGAAGGGAUGAACGAACAACUCCAGACACGCUGCCUUUAAGAGCUGUAACACUCACCUCGAAGGUCUGCAGCUUCACUCCUGAAGCCAGUGAGACCACAAACCCACCAGAAGGAAGAAACUCCAGACAUAUCUGAACAUCUGGAGGAACAAAGUCUGGACACACCAUCUUUAAGAACUGUAACACUGACUGUGAGGGUUUGUGGCUUCAUUCUUGAAGUCAGCGAGACCAAGAACCCACCAAUUCUGGACACAUUUUGGCGACCAUGAAGAGACUAUCACCUGUCGCCAAGUGGUGAGACUAUCGCCAAGUGGUGAGACCAUCGCCUAUUGCUGAGCGGUGAGACUGUCGCCUAUUGCCAAGCAAGCAUUUUCAUGGAUGAUGUGGAUGAAUACAGGGGCAGCACAGAAGCAGAGAUGAGCAGUGACUACAAAUGAUGUGA
rnacentral:lncRNA from 1 species